GACGAACGCUGGCGGCGUGCUUAACACAUGCAAGUCGAACGGAAAGGCCCUGCUUGCAGGGUGCUCGAGUGGCGAACGGGUGAGUAACACGUGGGUGAUCUGCCCCUUACUUUGGGAUAAGCCUGGGAAACUGGGUCUAAUACUGGAUAGGACCAUGCUGUAGGUGGUGUGGUGGAAAGAUUAGUUUCGGUAAGGGAUGAGCUCGCGGCCUAUCAGCUUGUUGGUGGGGUAAUGGCCUACCAAGGCGUCGACGGGUAGCCGGCCUGAGAGGGUGGACGGCCACAUUGGGACUGAGAUACGGCGCAGACUCCUACGGGAGGCAGCAGUGGGGAAUAUUGCACAAUAGGCGCAAGCCUGAUGCAGCGACGCCGCGUGGGGGAUGACGGCCUUCGGGUUGUAAACUCCUUUCAGCCAUGACGAAGCCCUUGUGGUGACGGUAGUGGUAGAAGAAGCACCGGCUAACUACGUG
rnacentral:rRNA from 1 species